AAAGCAUGCUUGCUACAAAGGCUGGAAACAUUAAUAAGGGAUUAUGGGCAUGAUGUUUAUAUCAAUAUGCUUUGAGUUCUGGCUUUCAUAAGUGAUUAAAAUGAGGAAUUGUUUAGUCAAUAAUUUACAAUCUGGAGGAAGUAUUCCUCUUUGAUCUCAUUAGCUUUGUGAUCAAACUGAACCAAGAAUAGGUCAAAAUCAGAUUUUAAUACAGGUUGGCAGAUGGCACAAAGAUACGAAAAUAAAUGCAGACAUUAUG
rnacentral:lncRNA from 1 species